AUUGAACGCUGGCGGCAGGCUUAACACAUGCAAGUCGAGCGGGGGAAGUUGCUUCGGUAAUUGACCUAGCGGCGGACGGGUGAGUAAUACUUAGGAAUCUGCCUAUUAAUGGGGGACAACAUCUCGAAAGGGAUGCUAAUACCGCAUACGCCCUACGGGGGAAAGCAGGGGAUCACUUGAGACCUUGCGUUAAUAGAUGAGCCUAAGUCGGAUUAGCUAGUUGGUGGGGUAAAGGCCUACCAAGGCGAUGAUCUGUAGCUGGUCUGAGAGGACGGACAGCCACACUGGGACUGAGACACGGCCCAGACUCCUACGGGAGGCAGCAGUGGGGAAUAUUGGACAAUGGGGGCAACCCUGAUCCAGCGAUGCCGCGUGUGUGAAGAAGGCCUGCGGGUUGUAAAGCACUUUCAGUGGGGAAGAGAAGCGCGGUUUGAAUAAAGCCGCGUGGGGACGUUACUCACAGAAGAAGCACCGGCUAACUCUGUGCCAGCAGCCGCCGUAAGAC
rnacentral:rRNA from 1 species